rnacentral:rRNA from 1 species
GGACUAAACUCUCACUCUGUGGUGCCACCCGUCCAUACACUUCUCAAUUUCAUCGGAGAAAAUGAUGGUGAGGAUGAGGCAUGGUGAUGUGGGUACUGGCUAUGGCGUCCUUGUGCGGAACCCCUGGUUAGCCUACUACACCCGCCUCAUCGCCUUCGUCAGGGACGACCGCCAGAAUUGACAUGGAGCACAGACCACAGGAGCAGGCCGAAGUUCCGCGGGAGGACCGUCAAGCUCGACCAGCAACCUGGGUUAACAUGUGUACGACGCUGAACUCUCUGCUCUCAGUUUAGAACCGCUUACGUGCGGGGAUUGGUUCAGAUAUUAGUUUUGUUCUGUUCCUCCCUGUUAGUGAGUUCUUAUUGGUCAAUUGUGAGAUGCUUGUAUGGUACUCCCCAGUAUGUAUGGAAGUUAGUUUAUACGUUUCACUUAAGUAGAAAUUUGUCAUCUGAAUUGUACCUGUUCCAAUUUAAGAGAAAUUAUUAUGGGAACCAAGAUAGUACAUGUGAAAUGCGUUAGUAAUUAAAUAGUAGUUGUAGUAAAAUAUUUUCAUUAUGCUGAUACUCCCCAUUUUUGUUAUGUUAUUUUGUAGUUCUGAACUCGUGACAACUCUGUUUGAGGGACUGUGAAUAGAUUUGCAAGUGAAUUGCUAUUGUAGAACUGCAGUGAGAGUUUUAUGAGAGAUUCAACAUGAUUUUGGAAAAUUACUAAUGGAGAACUAAUUCGCUGAACUCGUUUGUGGCAACUAGAAGUCAUACUGGCUAAUGGACAUUACUGUCCAAGCAAGAAGAUACUACAACUAAUGAUCAAAUCCUAAACACGGCUUUUAUUCGGCCUAUGACCAUAGUGUAAUUGUAAGUAAUUUAUUUCUAGAUGGAAGUGUCUUAUUCAUCACACUUCCAAUCAAAUGUGUGCCAAGGACAAUAACUAAGCUAUGUGGAAGUUGUUUAUACUUUCUGUACUGUUCUAGGCUGCUUAAUUUUUUUCCUUCUAGGCUUUGUUAAAUAUUCUGUUUUUUCAAACCAUUUUAAUUUGUGAAGGAGUACCUACUACAAAUGCUAAUUUGUUCCUCUCGAGAUUUGAAACUUUGAGUUGAGAUCUUAUUUACGCGUGUCCUCUUAAUUCUAAUAGUUCGCUUACUUUUUGAUGUAUUAAUAGGUGUUUAUUCCAAUAUAAUAUUUUAGAUGACCUUUUAUGCUCACACAAACAACAUGUUUUUUCUUCAUAUCACUUAUUAGACUUAUUAGACAAGUACUAACAAGUCUUUUCUCGUUAGGAUUCCAACCUGGAGCUUCGAGUAAAAACUUUGUUUCUUCUUUGUUGCAAUGGUAGAUUUUUUUUCUGUAACUCAUUCAUACUGCUAUAUUUAUGCCUUUGUUUUUGAUAGGUUGAUUCGUAAGUUAUCUUUCAAGAAGUUGAUAUGGAAAUAGGAGGAUUAGACCAACUCUAGUUGCCUUCAAGAAGUCACAAGAAGAGGCAUGCAACAAAGGUUUCGAGUUUUGAGGAAGGCAGGAGCUAAGACUCACACCAACAAAGUCUCUAUUGACGACCUCUAAAAUUAAAAAAAAGUUGUUUGCAUGCUGUAUAGAGAAUAGUACUAUUGGAUGAUUAUGUAGCUUGGGUUAUUUUGGAUGGAGCAUGCAAGUGUAAUGUGUAAAUUGCACGCUAUAUAGAGACUAGUUAACUUGUAAUAUCAU